rnacentral:rRNA from 1 species
UCAAGCUACUAAGGGCGUGUGUGUGGAUGCCUUGGCGCAAGUAGGCGAUGAAGGACGUGGUCAGCUGCGAUAAGCCUCGGGAAGCCGCUAACAGGCUGUGAUCCGGGGAUUUCCGAAUGGGGAAACCCAGUGGGUGUGAACACCCGCUACGUUUCACUGAAUACAUAGGUGGAUCGGGCGAACUCGGGGAAGUGAACCAUCUCAGUACCCGAAGGAAGAGAAAACAACCGUGAUUCCGAUAGUAGUGGCGAGCGAACUCGGAAAAGCCUAAACCAGGCGAUUCGAAAGGAGAGCUUGGGGUUGCAGGACCACAAUAAUCUGCAGGCUGCUUCGGCAACGAAGCCGCCGGCAGGUUAAAAGAGGGAUAGGAAAGUGUUAAUCGAACGGUCUGGAAAGGCCGGCCAUAGAGCGUGACAGCCGCGUAGGUGAAAAUGCAAUCCUCCUUCCAGUGGCUCCUAAGUACCGCGGGACACGUGGAACCCUGCGGGAAUCUACCGGGACCAUCCGGUAAGGCUAAAUACUCACUUGCGACCGAUAGUGAACUAGUACCGUGAGGGAAAGGUGAAAAGAACCCCUGCGAGGGGAGUGAAAUAGUACCUGAAACCACACGCCUACAAGCAGUGGGAGGGCUAUGCCGGGCAACCGGAAUGCCUGACCUCGUGCCUAUUGCAUAAUGAGCUGGCUAGUUAUUCUCAGUGGCAAGGUUAAGCGUAAGCGAGCCGUAGCGAAAGCGAGUCUGAAUAGGGCGAUGCAGUCGCUGGGAAUAGACGCGAAGCGGGAUGAUCUACCCUUGGCCAGGAUGAAGUCCGUGUAACAGCGGAUGGAGGUCCGAACCAGUGUUGGUUGAAAACAGCUUGGAUGAGCUGAGGGUAGGGGUGAAAGGCUAAUCAAAUUCCGUGAUAGCUCGUUCUCUCCGAAAUAGCUUUAGGGCUAGCCUCUCGUGGUCCGUCGCGGUGGUAGAGAACUGAUUGGACUAGGGGCCUUCCCAGGUUACCGAAUCCAACCAAACUGCGAAUGCCGUGAAUGUGUAGCGAGGGAGUCAGACAGUGGGGGCUAAGCUUCAUUGUCGAAAGGGAAACAGCCCAGACCGUCAACUAAGGUCCCCAAAUCCAUGCUCAGUGGGAAAGGAAGUCGGGACGCUCAGACAGCCAGGAGGUUGGCUUAGAAGCAGCCAUCCUUUAAAGAAAGCGUAAUAGCUCACUGGUCGAGCGGCCCGGUGCCGACAAUAUAACGGGGCUUAAGCAUGGUACCGAAGUUACGGAUUCGUCUAGCUUGCUAGGCGAAUGGUAGGAGAGCGUUCUCAACAGCUGUGAAGGUCGAGCGAAAGCACGGCUGGAGCGUUGGGAAGUGACUCUGCCAGCAUAAGUAGCGAGAAACCAGGUGCGAACCCUGGUCGCCGUAAGUCUAAGGAUUCCUGAGAAAGGUUAAUCCGCUCAGGGUUAGUCGGAGCCUAACGCGAGGCCGAAAGGCGUAGCGGAUGGACAGCAGGUUAAUAUUCCUGCACUACCUUGUUUCGAUCAAGACCGAUGGGGGGACGCAGACUCAAGCUCGGCCGGGGUAAUGGUUUCUCCGGUUGGGGGAGAGGAGAUCCGGAUAGGCAAAUCCGCCGGGUCGUCUGCCAGGAAAAGCCCCUAAGGAGAAGUAAGGUAUCCGUACCACAAACCGACACAGGUGGACGUGAAGAAUAUUCUAAGGCGCUCGGGUGAUGGUAGGUUCAGGAACUAGGCACAUUAGCUCCGUAACUUCGGGAGAAGGAGUGCUCUUGGCAACAAGAGCCGCAGUGAAUCGUCUCAGGCGACUGUUUAACAAAAACACAGGUCUCUGCAAAGUCGAAAACGACGUAUAGGGGCUGACGCCUGCCCGGUGCCGGAAGGUUAAAGGGAGAGGUUAGCCGCAAGGCGAAGCUUUGAACUGAAGCCCCGGUGAACGGCGGCCGUAACUAUAACGGUCCUAAGGUAGCGAAAUUCCUUGUCGGGUAAGUUCCGACCUGCACGAAUGGCGUAACGAUCUGAGAACUGUCUUAACCUGCCGCCCGGCGAACUUGUGGUCCCGGUGAAGACGCCGGGUGCCCGCCACUAGACGGAAAGACCCCGUGCACCUUUACUAUACCCUUUCAUGGAACUAUGGGGCCAUCUGCGCAGGAUAGGUGGGAGGCUUUGAAGCCGGAUUCUCGGAUUCGGCUGAGCCAACGGUGAGAUACCACCCUGAUGGUUCUGUGGUUCUAACCUACUCGACUGAAUCGUCGAGAGGGACAGUGGAAGGCGGGUAGUUUGACUGGGG